AUCUUUCUAGUACAACCAUAGUAUAAGUGACUUCCAAUCACCCGGCCCUGGUUAGAAUCCAGGGAAAGAUA